UAAUAAUUAUCUGGUUGUCUCGUAGUGCGUGAAGCAUAUUCCAGGAAUAUUCCAAAGCAUAUUCAAGGAAUAUUCCAAAGCAUAUUCAAGGAAUAUUCUCUUAUCUUCUUCUAUAAAUAUCCUUUACCAGUUUAUUUCGCACGUACAAUCAUUUCGUCAGUUUCUCUGCACGAAUACCGAGAGAAGACGAACGGGUGUUCUUCGUGUUCUUCAUAUUCAAACGAGGAUUUGAAGGCGUUAUUGGAAUCCGAUGGAGGCGUAUAAAUAGUCAAAACGAAGCUCUCGACGCGUAGAAUCUAGUUUAAUCAACCGUAACACUGCAGAUUUCACGGGGUUUGGACGAGACGGAUACGAUCGAAGACGUUCAGAAGGUCAAACGAUGUUACAAAGCGAAUAAGGAACGAAUCGAGUAAACGAAGCAGUGUGGCGAAUAGAGUAUAGCCAAAGAUGGUCUAGAGACUAUGAUAUGCAUAGAGUGUGAAAGUGGAAAGAUGAGAUUGAGAUAUGAGACUGGAAUCGGAUUUAAGAAAAGCUUAAAGAUGAAUUGCAUGAUUGAGAUUGCGAGUAUGGCUAAGGCUAGGCGAGGAGUCAGAGUAUAGAGUAUCCAGAGGACAAGUGGAAUGUCCAGGGAGAUUGUCAAGGUUGGUUCUAGAUAGAAUUGUAUUAAUGAGAUUCAGUUGUAAGUCAUAAUUGGAAUAGAUU